rnacentral:rRNA from 1 species
GAUGAACGCUGACAGAAUGCUUAACACAUGCAAGUCAACUUGAACUUCGGUUUGGGUGGCGGACGGGUGAGUAACGCGUAAAGAACUUGCCUCACAGCUAGGGACAACAUUUGGAAACGAAUGCUAAUACCUGAUAUUAUGAUUAUAUGGCAUCGUAUAAUUAUGAAAGCUAUAUGCGCUGCGAGAGAGCUUUGCGUCCCAUUAGCUAGUUGGAGAGGUAACAGCUCACCAAGGCGAUGAUGGGUAGCCGGCCUGAGAGGGUGAUCGGCCACAAGGGGACUGAGACACGGCCCUUACUCCUACGGGAGGCAGCAGUGGGGAAUAUUGGACAAUGGACCGAGAGUCUGAUCCAGCAAUUCUGUGUGCACGAUGAAGUUUUUCGGAAUGUAAAGUGCUUUCAGUUGGGAAGAAAAAAAUGACGGUACCAACAGAAGAAGUGACGGCUAAAUACGUG